rnacentral:rRNA from 1 species
AGCGAACGCUGGCGGCAGGCCUAAAACAUGCAAGUCGAACGCCGUAGCAAUACGGAGUGGCAGACGGGUGAGUAACACGUGGGAACGUACCCUUUGGUUCGGAACAACACAGGGAAACUUGUGCUAAUACCGGAUAAGCCCUUACGGGGAAAGAUUUAUCGCCAAAGGAUCGGCCCGCGUCUGAUUAGCUAGUUGGUGGGGUAACGGCCCACCAAGGCUACGAUCAGUAGCUGGUCUGAGAGGAUGAUCAGCCACACUGGGACUGAGACACGGCCCAGACUCCUACGGGAGGCAGCAGUUAGGAAUCUUGGACAAUGGGCGCAAGCCUGAU